AUUGAACGCUGGCGGCAGGCCUAACACAUGCAAGUCGAAUGGUAACAGGAAACAGCUUGCUGUUUCUCUGACGAGUGGCGGACGGGUGAGUAAUGUCUGGGAAACUGCCUGAUGGAGGGGGAUAACUACUGGAAACGGUAGCUAAUACCGCAUAACGUCGCAAGGCCAAAGAGGGGGACCUUCGGGCCUCUUGCCAUCAGAUGUGCCCAGAUGGGAUUAGCUAGUAGGUGGGGUAACGGCUCACCUAGGCGACGAUCCCUAGCUGGUCUGAGAGGAUGACCAGCCACACUGGAACUGAGACACGGUCCAGACUCCUACGGGAGGCAGCAGUGGGGAAUAUUGCACAAUGGGCGCAAGCCUGAUGCAGCCAUGCCGCGUGUAUGAAGAAGGCCUUCGGGUUGUAAAGUACUUUCAGCGGGGAGGAAGGGAGUAAAGUUAAUACCUUUGCUCAUUGACGUUACCCGCAGAAGAAGCACCGGCUAACUCCGUG
rnacentral:rRNA from 1 species